UCCUACGGGAGGCAGCAGUGGGGAAUAUUGCGCAAUGGGGGAAACCCUGACGCAGCAACGCCGCGUGGGUGAUGAAGGUUUUCGGAUCGUAAAACCCUGUUUUCUGGGACGAUAAUGACGGUACCAGAUGAGGAAGCCACGGCUAACUACGUGCCAGCAGCCGCGGUAAUA
rnacentral:rRNA from 1 species